GACAGAGGGUGCAAACGUUGUUCGGAAUUACUGGGCGUAAAGCGCGUGUAGGCGGUUAUGCAAGUCGGGUGUGAAAGCCCGGAGCUCAACUCCGGAAGUGCAUUCGAUACUGCGUAGCUAGAGUACUGGAGAGGAUGGUGGAACUCUCGGUGUAGAGGUGAAAUUCGUAGAUAUCGAGAAGAACACCGGUGGCGAAGGCGGCGACCUGGUCCGUGACUGACGCUGAGGCGCGAGAGCGUGGGGAGCAAACAGG
rnacentral:rRNA from 1 species